rnacentral:rRNA from 1 species
AUACGGAGGAUCCGAGCGUUAUCCGGAUUUAUUGGGUUUAAAGGGUGCGCAGGCGGGAGGUUAAGUCGGCGGUGAAAUUUUGCAGCUCAACUGUAAAAGUGCCUUCGAAAAUGGUUUUCUUGAGUGUAGAUGAAAUAGGCGGAAUUUGUGGUGUAGGGGGGAAAUGCAUAGAUAUCACGAGGAACUCCGAUUGCGCAGGCAGCUUACUAAACUACUACUGACGCUCAGGCACGAAGGCGUGGGGAUCAAACAGGAUUAGAUACCCUGGUAGUCCACGCAGUAAACGAUGAUUACUAGCUGUUUGCGAUACAAUGUAAGCGGCUGAGCGAAAGCGUUAAGUAAUCCACCUGGGGAGUACGUUCGCAAGAAUGAAACUCAAAUGAAUUGGCGGGG